CAACAACUCCUCUUAGUUGUGGCCUAAAAUUUAGUAAAUUACUUUUACUUUUCUGCCAAAACAGACGCGUCAAAAUAGGUUUUCCCUGUUCUAUUACUUUUUCCCCAAUUCUUAGCGUGCAAUUUUAGUUUCCACUCCAUCUAGAUUUUCUCUUUUCAUUAUUCCUAAACUAAGGUCUUGCAUCUGGCAUGUUCAAUUCUUCGAUCUUUUCCCCUGUGUUCUACCCAAAAUCUGGUGAGUUCUCGAUUUUAAUUUCGUUUCUUCUCAAUGUCUGGUGCUUUCAGCUUUUGAUUUAGUUUAAUGCAUAUUCUUCUUCUUAAUUUGCAGUACCAAUGGACUCAAUUCUGUUUUUUUUUCUUUUUAUGAUAAAACUCAAAAUUUUUGGACUAGAAAAAAGAUGAGAAUUGGAGAAGAUAGGAUUUAUGAGAAGAGGAUUUUGAUACCUCAAACUGAAGUUUCUCUUGCUGCUAUUAGCGGCGUAUUUUCUACUUGAAGAAAGUAAAGCAGCUUUGAUUUUCAAUGUUUUUACUUUUCUGAAAAAGUUUGUAAAUCCUGUCCUUAGUAUUAUUUUGUUAGUUUUUGCUUUGUUUCUUUGUUUCUUUUAAGUUAUGGAAUUUGUAAGUUGAAGUUGCAAUAGAAUAAAAUUUUUAGACGUGAUUAAUUUCUUCUUUAAUGGUAUCCAAUUUCACUUGCGAAAUAACAAGUUUUUUUGUUGGAUUCUACUGUAUACUCAUAAUAUUGAAGAUGUUAAUAAUGUACAUUUUAUUAUAGUUAAUAAUUGGCGUCUUGGGUUGAGCCUGAGUAUGAAGUUCGGGUGGAAAUCUGCAUAAUAAUUGGUGUCUCGGGUUGAUCCUGAGUAUGAGUUCGGGUGUAAAUCUGCAUAAUCUUGAAGAUGUUAAUAAUGUGCAUUUUU
rnacentral:lncRNA from 1 species